AGUGAGAUCGUGCGGUGUUUGUCUUUCUCUGUCUGACUUAUCUCACUUAGCGUCAUGUCUCGAAGGUUCCUCCAUGUGGUUGCAGGUGGCUGGGUUUCCUUCUUUUUUAUGACUGAAUACUAUUCCAUGGUCUAUAUAUCCCACAUUUUCUUUAUCCAUGCAUCAGUCAGCGGACAGUUUGUUUGUUCCCAUGUCUUGACUCUCGUGAAUAAGGCUGCAAGAGACACAGGGUGCAGAUAUCUCUUCAAGAUAAUUCCAUUUCCUUUGCAUACAUACUCAGAAGUGGGAUUGCUGGAUCAUAUUGAUUUUGAUCUUUAUAUACGUGGAAUCAUUCUUGCAUUUUCUUUUGUGUCUUUCUUCUUUUGCACAGCUUUAUGUCCGUGCAAUUCAUAGUGAUGGCGGGUAGAAUGUGGGUUUGUUCCCUCCUGUUGUGGCUUAGUAUUCCACUGAGUAAAUAUACCACAACAUUUCCAUCCAUUCUCUUGUUGAUGGGCACUGGGGCGUAGUUUCCAGUUUGGGGCCCCUCCCCCUUUUGAGGACUCAUAGAAAGACACAGGAAGGGGGAGGGUUGAGUACCAUAUACUGGUGGAACUAGGCGGAAGUUCUUAUGGUAAUUGCCUUAGGACUCACAACAGAGGAUUCUCAGAAAUAUUUGGGGAAGAGGAAAGCGCAAACAGGGUCUUGGGGUACUGAGAUGUAAGGGGUUGACUGUAAAUGUGCUUCCUUUAUAGUCGCCAUCUGGAGAAGCCUGCUAUCUGUGGCUUAUGAGGACUGGAAGCCAUGAAACACCUAACCCGGAGCCAAGAAGGCACCCAGCAGGACUCCGCUUGGGUCUGCCCGAUGGAAGAGAGUGCCGCCCUUGGAGAAGUUCACUUCCUCUGCGCAGCCCGAAGCACGUCCAUCCGUCUGUCUUCUGAACUUCUACGACCACCUUUAUCAUCUUUGCUUCUGUUCUGGUCCUGUACACAUGUGUAUUAUCGGAAAGACUAGGAUGACUUGUCCUCGAGGGCAGGACACACGCCUGAUCUAUCUUUACAUCUUUCGCAUUGAUGGUGUUUGCAAAUCCGUACUCAACGGGAGACUGAGAAAGUACAGAGCGAAGAAGCAGUAACUGGCCAAGAAGAAAUGUCACUGAAACACGAAGAUCCCCAGUUUCUUUUUUUCUCGCUACCACUUCUAAGAAUCUUCCCACAGAGCUACAGUAACAUAAAUCGACAGAGAGCAGUAAUUUUAAAUCCAGGCCACCCCCAAGAUGGAUUUAUACAAUCUCCAGAGGUGGGACACAGGCCAUCGGUAGUUUUGGAAGCUCUCCUGGUGAUUCCAACAUGAAGACAAGGUUGGGAGUCACUGCACUGAAGGUUUGUGUACAAGGAUCCUCUGGAAAUGGAAAAGUUGGAAACUUGUGUGUCUUCAAGAUGGGACAUAUUAUGGUCUUCUCUGCUUGGAUGAUAGCUUUCGAAGGUGUUCCUUCUCAGGUGGUACAGUGUAGCCUCUGAGGGGUUAUCUCUACUUUGUGCCAAUGGUGAGGGUGGAGAAUGGAUACCCCUGCUAGUCAGAGGGUCUUCCAUAUGGAUGCCCCUGCUUCUCCUGGACAUCUCUUUCCACUUCCCACAUGCCUCCUUUUUCCGUCUUCCUUUCUCUGUGUCUAGAACCUCCUAUUGCUAUACCCUACUCCCUGAGACUUGCAAUUCCUCUCUCCAGAAAGAAGGAGGACUCUCUCUUAAUUCAUCCCUGGGUCCUACAGAUUUCUCAGCCUUGGACAUGUUGUGUCCACCCCUCCUCUGCUCUUCCAAGCUUCUGCUGUCACAGCAGAGGAUAGGAUGAGCUCUGCUCACCUGCAUGGGGGCAGGAGGGGCCAGAGAAGUGGGGGAAAAUGGCUUGGGAUUUCUCUCCUGGUUGACAUUGUUCAACAAAGGAUGCUUCCUGGAAAACUGGCUACGCCAUACUGGGAACUUGUAAGAGAACAAACUAUGAACUUUUGUGUUCAAUAUAUUAUAUCUCUAUUAUGGUAAACUUCCUAAAACUGGUUGGACAAAAGCCUAGAGAGACACACAAAUAUGUUAGUGGUGGUUGCUUUUUGGAUGGUAUGACCAUGGGUGACUAAAAAAAAUUUUUUUUGCAACUUUUCA